GGUGGCGGUGGGACGAGGUGGGACCGAGCGGAACGUGACGAUUCCUAAUUGUCUAAUUCCCGGGCGCGCAAUGCGCGAAUUGAUUGGCAAUACGGGUGCACGUGGCUGUGUGCACGGGCGCAUGGCUGGGAGAGCAGCGUCCCUCCCGCGUACGCGUCCGUACGUGUACGUAAACGUAACGCGCGGCAUCUCGUUCCGCUCUCGUCAGAGCGAGCGAUCUAGGAUUUAUAUCGUCGACGAUACCAAUGUCACUCAUAUUUAAUUAUCGGCAGAGUUGCGGCAGUACGCGUGCUGAGACUGGACACGUGACCGGAUUCUUGGUUUGACAAUCUGUCUUUUAAGUUGAUUAUUUGAGAUCGAAUGGUAAAUGCUGGAGAGACGGAACGUUAGCAGAACCGGCAUAUUGUAUCUCCAGUCCAAAAGAAGGAAACACACCGAAACACACCGAUAGAGCGAGGGUGGGGAAGCGCUUCAUGUUCCACAGGAUGAACCGGAGAAAUCGUUUCGCCAAAGCCGAUUAACGAAAAUACUCAUUAAGAAUCGACAUCUUCG